UACGUAGGAAGCAAGCGUUAUCCGGAUUUACUGGGCGUAAAGUGAGCGUAGGUGGCUUUUCAAGUCGGAUGUGAAAUCUCCUGGCUUAACUGGGAGGGGUCAUUCGAUACUGUUGGGCUAGAGGACAUCAAGGGAAGGUGGAAUUCCGGGUGUAGUGGUGAAAUGCGUAGAUAUCCGGAGGAACACCAGUGGCGAAGGCGGCCUUCUGGGAUGUUUCUGACACUGAGGCUCGAAAGUGUGGGGAGCGAACAGGAUUAGAUACCCUGGUAGUCCACACUGUAAACUAUGGACACUAGGUAUAGGGAGUUUCGACCCUUUCUGUGCCGAAGCUAACGCUUUAAGUGUCCCGCCUGGGGACUACGGCCGCAAGGUUA
rnacentral:rRNA from 1 species